GAGUGGGGGUCACAGGGACCUGCACAGGACCAUGGAGUGGCCCAGGGACCUGCACAGGGGGGUCCAGGCAUGGAGCAAUAUGGGCUGGGGUGUGACCACUGCACGUGUUCCCAUGGAGCCACUCACCACCCCGUGGUGGCCUGGAGGGGACACAGGAGUGUCCCCCAGUCUGUGGUGGUGUUGUCCCCUCUCUCAGCCCCUCUCUGUCCCCCAUGCCACGCGAGGAGCCACUGUGUGCCCCGGGGAUGGGGUGGGCUUCUGGAUAACGCAGAGCUGAGCAGGUGGAGCAGAGCACAGAGACGAUCCGGUGCCAGGUGGGUGGGUGCCAGCACCCCAGGGUGCUCUCAGUGUCCCCCCCUCUCUCUGUGUCCCCCGGGUGCUCCAUAGGGAGCCAUGAUCGACCGCAUAGAGAACAACAUGGACCAGUCCGUGGGAUUUGUGGAACGGGCCGUGGCUGACACCAAAAAGGCUGUGAAGUACCAAAGUGAGGCCAGGAGGGUGAGACAGACUGACACUCCCUUGUGCCCUGCAUAGCCCCCAGUGUCCCCUCUGUAGCCCCCAGUAUCCCUGAGGUACCCCCAGUGUUGUCCCCUCCAGCCCUUGUUGUGCCUUCACAUCCCAGUGUUCCCAGCAUCCCCCAUAUCCUCCAGCAGCCCUGAGACCCCUUUAUUUCCCUCAGUCACCUCCUGUCCCCCUUCAGCCGCCGCCCCUCCUAUCCCCCAGCUGACCCCAAGAACACCCACCUGCCCCCAGUGACUCCAUGGAGGCUGGCAGCUCUGUCCUCUCUGUCCCACUCCUCCCCUGAGCCCCCUCCCACCCUCAGGUGUGAUGAGCUGGUGAGGACUCAGCCCCUCCUGCCCCAUCCCCAGGGCUCUGCAGCACCUCGGUGCCCCUGUGUCCCCCCACAUGGGACAGGUGUCACCACCCCCAACUUGCCCCUGUUCCCCCAGAAGCUGCUGGCUUUGGUGGCAGUGGCCGUGCUCUUGCUGGGGACAGUUGCCCUCAUCAUUGGACUCUCGGUGGGGCUGAACACGAAAUAGCCCCUGGGGCGGGGGUCUGUAAGUGUUGGGGGGCAGGGGACCCCCACUGCGGGGACACAGAGCCCUGGGGGAUCCCAGUGCCAUUUCCUGCUUUGGGGGCUCCAGUGCUUUGGGAUUUGGGGCUGGGGCCGCUGCCUUCUGGCUUUGGUGAUCUCAGGUCUGCGGUGCUGGGGGUGUUCUGUGGGGGUCUGCAAUGUUCGGGGUCCCUGGUGCUCUGGGGUCUGUGGUUUUGGGGUCU
rnacentral:lncRNA from 1 species